UGUACUUAUAUGCAUACAUACAUAUCUAUAUGUGUAUAUACAUGCAUUUACGUAUGCCAUAAAUCAAGUAAUUUACAUGGGUUUGGGUCUUGUGUCUACUAUUUAGGCAAAAUGCUAUUGCAAAGAUAUGCACACAAGACAGAAGAAAUUCAUCUUCUGCCAGCUGUUGCACGAUGAUCACAAUAGCUGUUCCUGGAGUACAAAAAAGAAUGCAGACACUGACAAAGAGGUAGAUUAUGACAUUGUAUUUGUUAUUGGUGGUCAGUUAUCCUAGCAGAGUAAUCAAGGACCACCAAUGAACCAUGUUUGAUAUGUACCAGUGUUCACACAGCUAAUCUGAUCAUAGAUGUGGGAACUGGAAAAAAAAAAAGCUAUACAUGUGGAGAAGUCCAACGACUAGAUGCUGAGAAAAGAACAUCAGCAUAAGUUGGGGUAACUGCAUGACAUUGAGAGGCUCAUAGUCAAGACUCCAAUGCCUCAUUGAUUUUUCAAUAUUGUUUUGAUGAUGUCAUGUGAAUUUCUAGGGGACUGGUUUCAGACUUCUGGGAGAAUGUAACGUUAUGUUUUAUUAUUUAGGUAGUCGGAAAAGGUAGCCAUUGGAAACCAAAAUCAAAGAACAAUAGGGAUUGCAUCUUUGGUUUGGGGAAAAUAUUCAUUUGCCUUCCAGAAAUUCGACAAUCACAUAUUUAAACAACCAUUUUAUGACAAAGGAAACGCAUUAAAAGAAGCGUUCCUAGUCUUCUAGGAUUUUAUUAAUGUUUGUGUGCUGGCAAUUUAAUGGAGAGACAUUAUCAAACUGAAUAUAGAGAAUAGUUUGUUAGCAGUAUUUCUCUAAGACAUGGUUAAUCCGGAAAAGAUAGAUAUUUUUAGGCGAACACUAUAAGGAUUUGCGCUGUAUUUUCUUAUAUCUAGUUGCACGACUCAAGUGUGCGUUCCUGUCAAAUAUGAUGAUCCAUAAGCUGCAUGGUACAUUAUUGGGAGGAAUCUUCUUGAAGAUAAAGCUGUGGCUUGUCCUUUUUUUUUUUUUAGGGUAAAAAGCUGUGGCUUGUCCUUAAUUCAAUCAACAAAACAUGAUGCACUAGACGGGGGAAGAUCAAAUUUUGGGAUGUUGGAGCUGUUGGGUCUUCCACAUAAAGUGAAUUAAUCAAAUGGAUAUUGUUAUAAACUUUUUAAUUUUAAUAGUCUGUGGGACUGGGACCUGAUGGUCAAAUACAUUUCUUGACAGUGGACUUACAUCUCUCUCUUCCUCACGACCCUUCCGAAGAAAGAGGAAGUCUGUUAAAUCUGUAUUUGAAACCAUUAUCAUAUCAGUUGCUCACUAUCCUUCUGACUAAUUAAAAGUACCUUUGGGAAUUGCUAAAUUGACAAAAAAACUAUGAUAUUGGUUUGCGGAGUCAUGCAGGUUAAUAUGGCCAGCUUGAAGUGUUUAGCUGUACGAGAGGCAGCUAUAGAUUGAUUCUCUCAGAACUGUGAAUUUGAUGACCAUGAACCAUCCUUUACCACUGCAUCUUUAUAUUUGGACGUGGAUACUGGUGGCAUGUAUCCUGUUGGGCAUGCUAGUUGGUGAUACAUAAUCCUGGUCUGUGGAUCCCAAGAAGCCCCCUCCCUAGUGAAUGUGCAAUGCUAAUUUUUAUGAUGUCUACCACAGCAAAAUGAGAACGGUGGAUACUAGUGGUCUCAUUGAAAUCUGCAGGUGCAAUUCUGUUUGCUGGCAGUUGUACAGUGGAGUCAGAUGGUAUUUUGCUGCAUGAGAAGGUUAAACAAUGGUGAUUCGGCCUAAUAAUGUUAUAUAUGAGGAUGACAAACCAUAUGCACCUUUCUUCUGCUUGUUCCUGGCCGGAUGACAUGCUCACUGUACUCGGUGAGAACUGGGAGUGUAACCGGUCGGUCCACGUUUGAGAGAAUUGGGGUCAUGGCCAACUUACUAUCAACAGAAUUUAUACCUUCAUGUCAAGUUCACCCAUUACUCUUUACGUAAGACUUAACCUGGCAAGAUUGGAUAUUCUGUCUCCUAGGUAUCUCUGAGUCUCUUUUCUCUGGUUGGUGGGGGGCCCUCUGUGUGGUUUUUUCUUGUCCUUUUUUUUUCUUAUGUGGAUAUGGAUAGUGAUGCGGUGAACCUUAAAUUUUGUAUUCAUAACAGAUUUAACGGCUUUAAAUGGCAAAAGAAAAAUUCUUUCA